AUAAUAAUAAUAAUAAUAAUAAUACUGCCACUACUUCUGAUUUAACUAUGUAAUUGACGUUAAUAAUUAGCGAAAAUCAAAUGAGAGAUAUUAACGGUCACUGAACCAGCUGUACAGUUAACGCAGCCAACACGCACACCCAACACCCGUCAGCCAGUGUGAGAGUCCUUAAGCAAAUAAAUGAGUAACUUUAAAGUGACAUGGAGGAGUGAGGUGGAGAGGAGAACUAGAAGACAAAGGGUUGGAAGAUGGACCGUGUUAGGAAAAGGGUUAUUUGUUAUCGAAUUGCGUGUUUAUAAUACGUCACUCUAUCUCCUUUUAGGGAUUGUAUUCUCAGUGGGUCUUCUUUCACACUUUUUGUUGCCGUUUGAUCAGUGUCCUUCUUAGGCUGAAGGAAGAAUGAAGAAAUAUUCUCGUUCUUCUUCAUUCCUCUCAUUCUGACUGCCAACCACCCUGUAUACAAGGUGAAAAGUGUUGGUGCUAAUAUACAGCCUUGCCUAACUCCUCCCUCACUCUUCAGCCAGUGGAAUGCAGUAUAUUUAGAGACAUGUGAAGGCGACACUGAGGUACAAAGCUGGAGUAGAUCGAAUGGAUGAUGCAGGACUAGCGAGGAAGGUGUUUCUACGGAAUGUUAGGAGUACCAGGUGGGGAAGAAGUGCGUUGAGAUGGCAGCAAAGAAUGGCUUGGAAACUUGUUGGGCUUUCCAGCGGUGUGACAGUGACUUGAGCAUGGUUGUUUGUUAGAAAUGGAGAGACAAGAUAUAGAAGACAUGAUCGCAGCAUCACAUCAACAACAUACAAAAGAGGAAAAGAAAACGGCAGUAAAUAUAAAAGAAAACUCAAAAUACUUCUUCUCAUAUGCAAAACAUGACUACUGCAGGUCCCCUCACAGAGCAAGAUAGAGAAGUAACUGGUGACCCAAAAGAAGUGGCCAGCAUCCUCAAAAGAAUGACUGUCUUCAGCACACCCUGUAUAAAAAAAAAAAAAAAAUACAAGACCUACAGUCCUUUGUGGAGCAAGCAAAGGAUCCCAGAAAAUGAAGCAGCAUUGAUAUCAGUGAGGCAGACAUCACAGCUGCAAUUGACGCCAUUGCAAGUGAUGCAGCGACUGGGCCUGAUGGUUUCCAUACAAAAUUAUUAAAACACUGCAAGAAAGAACUGGCUAGACCUCUUCGGAUUCUAUGGAGUUCCUCACUGAAGAGCAGCACCAUGCCAGAACACUCUUAAGUCUGCUGUGAACACGCCUAUGCACAAGGGAGGAAGCAAAGGACUAGCCAGCAAGCAUAGACCAGCUGCACUGACAUCCCACCUUGUCAAGAUUUGUGAAAGGGUCAUCAGGAAGACUGUGGUGCACUUCCUUGAAGCAAAUGGAGCCUUCAUUAGUGGACAACAUGGCUUCAGAAAGGACACUCUUGCCUGUCCCAGUUUUUACUUCACUAAAACAAAAUUUUCAAGUACAAACAAAAUGGCGAGAACACAGACAUCAUCCACUUAGACUUUGCUAAAACAUUCGACAAGGUUGGUCAUGAGAUAUUCCUUCACAAACUUCAAGUCCUGGGAAGUGAAGGACCAUUUGCUAGGUGCAUCCACAGUUUCCUAACGGGGAGAACCCAACAAGUGUCAUUCUAGGGGGUUGGGGGAGACUGUCUGACCAAAGUGAAGUCUGCAGUGGAGUACCCCAAAGCUCAGUACUUGGGCCACUGCUCUGUAUAAUAGGAGACACUGACUCAGACUUAAAACACUGAAACAUGAUCUUUUGCAGACGAUACAAGAAUAAAGAGACAAAUAAGAAGUGCAGGGGACACCCAUAAUCCUCAGGAUGACCUAAGCAAAGCAGUACAAUGGGCAGAAACAAACAACAUGGCAUUAAACAAUGAAAAAUAUGAAGUCAUCCAGUAUAGGAAGAAGGACGACAUAAAGAAGGCAAUUGGCUAUACAGUAAACACCAUUUCAUAUAGGAGAAAAAAAUAUCAAAGAUCUGGAUAUCCUAAUCAGCAGCGAUGGCACUUCACUCAUCACAUCAACAAAACAGCAGAAUUUGCAAGACAGAGGAGUGGAAGGAUACUAAGACUUUUCACCACUAGGGAGGACCACUGCUUAAGGACACUAUGGAAAGCCCUGGUGGUGGUGCCAAGGCUUAAGUACUGCUGCCAGCCCUGCUCUCCACUCACCAUCCAAAAAGUAGUCACCGUGGAAGUCCCUCAAAGAUCAUUCACUUCAAAAAUUAAUGGAGUACAACACCUUAACUACUGGGAGAGACUAAAAUAACUCUACGUGCGUUCCAUGCAGAGAAGAGAACGUUACAUUGUAGCGAAGGUGAGGUGCUACUUGGCCGCCCGGAAGAUGCUCAAGCGAGAAGUUUAGGCUCCCAACUACGACUUGGUCAUAGCAGUGUUUAGUCCUUGCGAGCGUGUGCAGUAGAGAGAGUGAAAACGGAAGGGUGAAAAAUUAACAGAAAACGGAGUGCUAGGAGCGGUGACUUGUGUCCCGCUACAACAUCGUACCGUGAGCUUGGAGGAUGGUACAAGCAGAGGGCAGAGUACCAAGUCUUGGCGUGACAGUGACCCGCCACCCAAGACGAGGCAGACUUUGUUACAUCCAAGUGACCAGGGGCAAGAUUCAGCGAGUGAUGACCUUGAAACACAGCUCCUUCACCCACAAUGGACCUUGACUGUUCAACUGCCUACCCCAGACACUUUGAGAUCUAAGUGGAAUCACCAAUGAAUCUUUUAAAAUGAAACUGGACAAGUAGGCUCUGUGAUGUACCACACCGGCCACCUGCACCAGAAUACACCAGCCAAUAUCACAACACUGCCUGAAAUGAUCAAGGGCAGGAUAGACCAUAAUGGAACAACUGGUACAAGCGUCAUUAACAGACACAAUCAUUAAAAGCAGCAAAAGUAGAUGUUUUAACCAUUUCUGUCCAUGGAUCUCCCGAGGCUUCCAUUAUAUCUUCAAAGAUUGUUUUUGGUGAUGCAUCGUUUCCUUGCAUGUUGUGUCUAUAUCGCUGUUCAGUAUAUUAAGAUUCAUAUGUUUUGAAAUUCUAAACACUCGCAUACCAUUAUUAUUAUUAUUAUUAUUAUUAUUUUUCUAUUUUCCAAUGAUCCCAAUGUGACCGUUGAAGUCUCCAACGAUAAUACUCGUAUAUUUUCCAUGUGUAUUCUUUCCUAUUGCUAGGACUUCCUCUUCAGUUAAUUCAUUUUUUGAAUGAAUGGAAGAAUGAGAUGGAAAGAAAGAAGACCCUGGAAUGGUACAAGGAGAAAGAGGCCCCGAGGUAUGAAAGGUGGUAUGAUGGAAGCCUGGGCGGUGAUCUGUUCCGAGCGAGGGCACAGUGUAUGGAUGUGAAUGCAAGGAGUUACAGGUGGUCUGAGUCCCGCAGCAAAGUGUGCCAGAUGUGUGACAUGGGAGAGGAUGAGACGGUGGAACAUGUGGUGCUGGAGUGUGUGAAGUAUGCCAGAGACAGGAAUGAGAUGAUGCGAGUGAUACUGACUGAGUUAGGGCAUGAUAGGAAUGAAAGAGUGGAGAAGACAGGAAAGGAAUGGAUGGUGUUGUUGCUGGGACUGUGUAGAGAGGCGAAUGAAAGGAUGAUUGAGGCGGUGAAAGAGUUUCUGGAGAGAAUGUGGCGUACCAGGUGUAUGAACAAUUAGGAUAGAGGAUGCUGUUCGUUUCUCUUCUUUCCCCCCCCACCCCCCUUCUACAGGAGUUGCCGAUCCAAAGGCCUGGCUCAGGAGUGAUCCUGUGCCACCUGUACCAUCAAGAUCAAGAUCAAGAUUCCCGCUUCAUCUUUCGCUGAUGGCGACACGUCCUCUCUCAUUUUACUUGCAUUUUAGAUGAGCAGAACGGACGGCAGUGGUGAGAGCAAGACUCGACUGGCAAAUCCUACCGUCCAUUCUGCCCCAGAGCCCCAGAGCCCCUCAGGACAGUGGCCGCCGACUCAGAACGCUGCACCACUAUUGGACGUGCCGUGAGGCGGGGCAGCAGCAUGAAUGGCAGGUGGAAGCAGCAGCAGCAGCAGCAGCAGCAGCAGUCUGCCUCAGGUGUGGGAAGACACAGGCAUGGUGGCAAGAAUCACCUGGAGGCAGGCAGCUCUGUCCACAGCGGAGAGAGCAAGUUUGAGUGCCAGCAAUGUGACAAAACCUUUUGUAUCCAGAAGUGGCCUUAGGUACCACACCCUGACACACAGUGGUGUUAGAAAUUAUGAGUGUGGUGAGUGUGGACAGAAAUUUAUGAAAAAGUCUCACCUCACCACACACACCCUGACACACAGUGGUGUUAAAAAUUAUGAGUGUGAUGAGUGUGGAAAGAAAUUUACCCGUAAGUUUCACCUCACCACACACACCCUGACACACAGUGGUGUUGGAAAUUAUGAGUGUGGUGAGUGUGGCAAAAAAUUUAUGCAAAAGUUUCAGCUCACCAGACACACCCUGACACACAGUGGUGUUAGAAAUUAUGAGUGUGGUGAGUGUAAGAGGAAAUUUACCCACAAGUAUGACCUCACCAACCACACCCUGAUACACAGUGGUGUUAGAAAUUAUGAAUGUGAUGAGUGUGGAAAGAAAUUUAUGAAAAAAGUCUCACCUCGCCAGACACACCCCUGACACACAGUGGUAGAAAUUAUGAGUGUGAUGAGUGUGGCAGGAAAUUUACCAUAAAGUCUCACCUCACCAGACACACCCUGACACACAGUGGUGUUAGAAAUU